rnacentral:rRNA from 1 species
GAUGAACGCUGGCGGCGUGCCUAAUACAUGCAAGUCGAGCGAACGGACGAGAAGCUUGCUUCUCUGAUGUUAGCGGCGGACGGGUGAGUAACACGUGGAUAACCUACCUAUAAGACUGGGAUAACUUCGGGAAACCGGAGCUAAUACCGGAUAAUAUUUUGAACCGCAUGGUUCAAAAGUGAAAGACGGUCUUGCUGUCACUUAUAGAUGGAUCCGCGCUGCAUUAGCUAGUUGGUAAGGUAACGGCUUACCAAGGCAACGAUGCAUGGCCGACCUGAGAGGGUGAUCGGACACACUGGAACUGAGACACGGUCCAGACUCCUACGGGAGGCAGCAGUAGGGAAUCUUCCGCAAUGGGCGAAAGCCUGACGGAGCAACGCCGCGUGAGUGAUGAAGGUCUUCGGAUCGUAAAACUCUGUUAUUAGGGAAGAACAUAUGUGUAAGUAACUGUGCACAUCUUGACGGUACCUAAUCAGAAAGCCACGGCUAGCUACGUG